rnacentral:rRNA from 1 species
AAUCAACGCUGGCGGCGUGCCUAACACAUGCAAGUCGAACGAGAAAGUGGGGGCAACCCUGCGAGUACAGUGGCAGACGGGUGAGUAACACGUGAACAACCUACCCUUGAGUGGGGAAUAACACCGCGAAAGCGGUGCUAAUACCGCAUAACAUCCUUUGGUUGCAUGACUGAGGGGUCAAAAGCGAGAGUUGCUUGAGGAGGGUUCGCGGCUGAUUAGCUAGUUGGUGAGGUAACGGCCCACCAAGGCGACGAUCAGUAGCCGGCCUGAGAGGGCGAACGGCCACACUGGAACUGAGACACGGUCCAGACUCCUACGGGAGGCAG